rnacentral:lncRNA from 1 species
UGGGAGACUGUUGGAGGUAUGCCCUAGAGGCAAUCAUAGAGAUGAUGAUAUCCUAUUUGUAUCCAUGAUUUAUAUUGUGUUCCUUGAAUAUCCAUUAAAGGCUACUUGAAUUGAUUUGCAAUUAUGUGAAUUGUAUGUGAAACUCUUUACUUGUAUGGUUAUUCUAAAGUUGUCCCUAGUCGGAGUUUAUGUGAGGACACACAUGAAUAUUAGACUAGCACAUGUAUUAGUUGAUGACUAUGUUUCACAAGUCAUGGAUAUGGAGAUGUCAAACUAAUAAUGUAGGCAC